rnacentral:rRNA from 1 species
CGGGUGCACUGAUCCAGCCGGGCCUUUCCCUCUGUGGAACCCCAUGGCCUUCACUGGCUGUGGCGGGGAAACAGGACUUUUACUUUGAAAAAAUUAGAGUGCUCCGGGCAGGCCUAUGCUCGAAUACAUUAGCAUGGAAUAAUAGAAUAGGACGUGUGGUUCUAUUUUGUUGGUUUCUAGGACCGCCGUAAUGAUUAAUAGGGACAGUCGGGGGCAUCAGUAUUCAAUUGUCAGAGGUGAAAUUCUUGGAUCUAUUGAAGACUAACUACUGCGAAAGCAUUUGCCAAGGAUGUUUUCAUUGAUAAGGAACGAAAGUUAGGGGAUCGAACACGAUCAUAUACCGUCGUACUCUUAACUAUAAACUAUGCCGACUAGGGAUCGGACGAUGUUAUUCUUUGACGCGUUCGGCACCUUUCGAGAAAUCAAAGUGCUUGGGCUCCAGGGGGAGUAUGGUCGCAAGGCUGAAACUUAAAGAAAUUGACGGAAGGGCACCCCCCGGGGGGGAACCUGCGGCUUAAUUUGACUCAACACGGGGAAACUCUCCAGGUCCAGACACAGUGAGGAUUGACAGAUUGAGAGCUCUUUCUUGAUUCUGUGGGGUGGUGGUGCAUGGCCGUUCUUAGUUGGUGGAGUGAUUUGUCUGCUUAAUUGCGAUAACGAACGAGACCUCAACCUCCUAAAUAGCCCCUACUGCUUUGGCAGUUCGCCGGCUUCUUUGAGGGACGAUCGG